ACUCCUACGGGAGGCAGCAGUGGGGAAUAUUGGACAAUGGGCGCAAGCCUGAUCCAGCCAUGCCGCGUGGAUGAUGAAGGCCUUAGGGUUGUAAAGUCCUUUCGGCGGGGAAGAUAAUGACGGUACCCGCAGAAGAAGCCCCGGCUAACUUCGUGCCAGCAGCCGCGGUAAUACGAAGGGGGCUAGCGUUGCUCGGAAUCACUGGGCGUAAAGCGCACGUAGGCGGACUCUUAAGUCGGUGGUGAAAUCCUGGAGCUCAACUCCAGAACUGCCUUCGAUACUGAGAGUCUCGAGUCCGAGAGAGGUGAGUGGAACUGCGAGUGUAGAGGUGAAAUUCGUAGAUAUUCGCAAGAACACCAGUGGCGAAGGCGGCUCACUGGCUCGGUACUGACGCUGAGGUACGAAAGCGUGGGGAGCAAACAGGAUUAGAUGCCCUGGUAGUCCACGCCGUAAACGAUGGAUGCUAGCCGUUGGCAGGCUUGCCCGUCAGUGGCGCAGCUAACGCAUUAAGCAUCCCGCCUGGGGAGUACGGUCGCAAGAUUAAAACUCAAAGGAAUUGACGGGGGCCCGCACAAGCGGUGGAGCAUGUGGUUCAAUUCGAAGCAACGCGCAGAACCUUACCAACCUUUGACAUGUCCCGUAUGAGCAACAGAGAUGUAGCUCUUCAGUUCGGCUGGCGGGAACACAGGUGCUGCAUGGCUGUCGUCAGCUCGUGUCGUGAGAUGUUGGGUUAAGUCCCGCAGCGAGCGCAACCCUCGCCCUUAGUUGCCAUCAUUCAGUUGGGCACUCUAAGGGGACUGCCGGUGAUAAGCCGCGAGGAAGGUGGGGAUGACGUCAAGUCCUCAUGGCCCUUACAGGUUGGGCUACACACGUGCUACAAUGGCGGUGACAAUGGGAUGCAAUGGAGCGAUCCUGCGCAAAUCUCAAAAAGCCGUCUCAGUUCGGAUUGCACUCUGCAACUCGAGUGCAUGAAGUUGGAAUCGCUAGUAA
rnacentral:rRNA from 1 species